CCUCCGGGUGUCCUCCUUUAUUACUAUUUUUCAAUUUUCUCUAUCCUUAACCAUCCAAUUCUCUUUAUUGAAGACUUUCCUAUUUAUUUUAAACCUCUUUUGUCGGGGAGCAAAAGACGCCACGCGUGGCGUUCCGAGAGUACCCGAAGAAAAAGCAUCGGCUAACUCCGUGCCAGCAGCCGCGGUAAUACGGAGGAUGCGAGCGUUAUCCGGAUUUAUUGGGUUUAAAGGGUGCGCAGGCGGAAGAUCAAGUCAGCGGUAAAAUUGAGAGGCUCAACCUCUUCGAGCCGUUGAAACUGGUUUUCUUGAGUGCGUGAGAAGUAUGCGGAAUGCGUGGUGUAGCGGUGAAAUGCAUAGAUAUCACGCAGAACUCCGAUUGCGAAGGCGGCAUACCGGCGCUCAACUGACGCUCAUGCACGAAAGUGUGGGUAUCGAACAGGAUUAGAUACCCGGGUAGUC
rnacentral:rRNA from 1 species